AUACGGAGGGUGUGAGCGUUAAUCGGAUUUACUGGGCGUAAAGCGCGCGUAGGCGGCUAAUUAAGUCAAAUGUGAAAUCCCCGAGCUUAACUUGGGAAUUGCAUUCGAUACUGGUUAGCUAGAGUGUGGGAGAGGAUGGUAGAAUUCCAGGUGUAGCGGUGAAAUGCGUAGAGAUCUGGAGGAAUACCGAUGGCGAAGGCAGCCAUCUGGCCUAACACUGACGCUGAGGUGCGAAAGCAUGGGGAGCAAACAGGAUUAGAUACCCCAGUAGUCC
rnacentral:rRNA from 1 species